AUGCAGGAGCUCAGUGAUGGGCGAGAUGUGGUGUCCUUCAUUCGAGACUGCCCAGUCCAUGGAUGCGAAAACAUGUGCUUGCAAUUUCUGUUUGUGGAGGCUAAUAUGCUCAGUCAGGAAGCCAUCGUGCAACUUCUACACUUUAUAUUUCGUGAUUAUGGUCAUGAAGCACUGGAGGCAUUUUACAAGGCUGGCAUGUCCGGUGUGGUGGGCAUCGAAGGGUUGUUUGGGGAGGAGCCCAAUACUUGGCAGGAGGCUAUGCGUCUCUUCACCAGCGUCUCUUCACCAGUCGACGUCGUCUGA
rnacentral:rRNA from 1 species